UUUUCCUGGCGCUAGGGUUGUUCUCUCCGGGAUUUGGAGUCGCCGUCCACCCUUAUAGUAGGGAUUUUUAUCCUCCCGCCAUAAAUCAUCCUACACCACGCCACCAUCACCCUUCAUUGACCCCUCUGCUCUUACCCACCCAAGCCACUAUCCACUCAACCCAGAAAUCCGCCAUGCCCCAUAAACCAACCAACCAAACCGGUCCGAUCAAGCCUGGAGCCACCGAGAUACGCAUCAACCGGCCGUCGGCAAAGUAAGACAAGCCAUAUACAAAUUCGGCGAUCUCACCCUCCAUGGAAGCUGACCCGAAUCUCGUUACGGUGCAAGUCCGAGAUUCACUAAAGGGAGACACACGAGCAGACCACCAAGGCAAGAAUCCCUCCAAAUCGCUGAAGAAGAACGAUCAUGGUAACACAGAAAGGAUUCAUGUGGCCCGCGCAUAAUUCGUCCGGGGUUGCGGAGUUGCUACUCGCUCCAGCAACACCUCUAUCCCAGCUAGGAAUAGCAUUUUGGGUUGCUGCUAGUUUUUUUUGUUUUGUGUCGUUAUUUUUUCUUGGAGGAUUUUUGCUAAGUUAAGCUUUGCUUUGUUUUUCCUUUCGGUUUUAGAGUCAAGGUUUGUAAGGUCGGUGUCUAAUGUUGGACCUUCCAACCAUUACUAGUAAUCUGAGUGGUUUUGUAUUGAGGGGAGUAUAGAUGUGGUGUAUAUAAUCCUAUAUCAUUACAAUCUCCUUGUAUCCAUAUAUGGACUACACCUCCCAGAUUACGACCUUUACGUUGUAUGUGUGCUUAUUUCGAGAUUUUAAUGAAAUACACGUAUGCCGA
rnacentral:lncRNA from 1 species